AUACGGAGGGUGCAAGCGUUAAUCGGAAUUACUGGGCGUAAAGCGCGCGUAGGCGGUUUGGUAAGUCGGAUGUGAAAGCCCCGGGCUCAACCUGGGAAUUGCAUUCGAUACUGCCAGACUAGAGUAUGGUAGAGGGAAGUGGAAUUCCGGGUGUAGCGGUGAAAUGCGUAGAUAUCCGGAGGAACACCAGUGGCGAAGGCGACUUCCUGGACCAAUACUGACGCUGAGGUGCGAAAGCGUGGGGAGCAAACAGGAUUAGAAACCCCAGUAGUCC
rnacentral:rRNA from 1 species